GAUGAACGCUGGCGGCGUGCCUAAUACAUGCAAGUCGAGCGAACAGACGAGGAGCUUGCUCCUCUGACGUUAGCGGCGGACGGGUGAGUAACACGUGGAUAACCUACCUAUAAGACUGGGAUAACUUCGGGAAACCGGAUCUAAUACCGGAUAAUAUAUUGAACCGCAUGGUUCAAUAGUGAAAGACGGUUUUGCUGUCACUUAUUGAUGGAUCCGCGCCGCAUUAGCUAGUUGGUAAGGUAACGGCUUACCAAGGCAACGAUGCGUAGCCGACCUGAGAGGGUGAUCAGCCACACUGGAACUGAGACACGGUCCAGACUCCUACGGGAGGCAGCAGUAGGGAAUAUUCCGCAAUGGGCGAAAGCUUGACGGAGCAACGCCGCGUGAGUGAUGAAGGUCUUCGGAUCGUAAAACUCUGUUAUUAGGGAAGAACAAAUGUGUAAGUAACUAUGCACGUCUUGACGGUACCUAAUCAGAAAGCCACGGCUAACUACGUG
rnacentral:rRNA from 1 species